rnacentral:snoRNA from 1 species
ACACAUGAUGAUUUCCUCGACGGGCGGACAUAAAAAAUCGCCUUUGGCGCUUGUUGCUGAUUGUCGAGUACUGAGUGU